rnacentral:rRNA from 1 species
UGGGGAAUAUUGGACAAUGGGCGAAAGCCUGAUCCAGCCAUGUCGCGUGUGUGAAGAAGGUCUUCGGAUUGUAAAGCACUUUAAGUUGGGAGGAAGGGCAGUAAGUUAAUACCUUGCUGUUUUGACGUUACCAACAGAAUAAGCACCGGCUAACUUCGUGCCAGCAGCCGCGGUAAUACGAAGGGUGCAAGCGUUAAUCGGAAUUACUGGGCGUAAAGCGCGCGUAGGUGGUUUGGUAAGAUGGAUGUGAAAUCCCCGGGCUCAACCUGGGAACUGCAUCCAUAACUGCCUGACUAGAGUACGGUAGAGGGUGGUGGAAUUUCCUGUGUAGCGGUGAAAUGCGUAGAUAUAGGAAGGAACACCAGUGGCGAAGGCGACCACCUGGACUGAUACUGACACUGAGGUGCGAAAGCGUGGGGAGCAAACA